AGGUGCGAUCAUACCAGCACUAUUGCACCGGAUCCCAUCAGAACUCCGCAGUUAAGCGUGCUUGGGCGAGAGUAGUACUAGGAUGGGUGACCUCGUGUUGCACCUC
rfam:Lupinus angustifolius cultivar Tanjil contig_24533, whole genome shotgun sequence.